GGUGAGGACUCGGUUGCCAGGGAGUCCGAGACCUCUGUUACCGAGGAGAAAUGUAGAGUCUCAGAGGUUGCUAGGGACGGAGUACCGGUUUCCCUGGAGCUUGGGGCUUCAGUUGCCCGGGUGGAAGGGACCUCGGUCACCCGUGGAGGCGAAUCCUGCGCCUCUUCCGGGUUUCUCGUGGGCUCUGUUUGGCAAGGCUAAGCAUUAGUGCUGCAGACGGGACUCCACCCGGCCGCGCAAUGUCCCACCGGGACGCGCAGGCCACACUCCUCUGCAGCGGGUGUGCCCCUCUGGUAAUGUAACUUCUCGACAUUGACCCAACUCCUCCACCCUUCUCCAAGCCUCUCCUAAGGACUGCACGUUUGGCAGAUUAGAAACCGCAAAUUAGGCAUGAAAAAUGCCAAGAGUGCCGCGGUGAUGGCGCACACCUUUAAUCCCAGCACCCGAGAGGCAGAGGCAGGCGGAUCUCUGUGAGUUCGAGGCCAGCCUGGUCUACAAAGUGAGACCCAGGACAGCCAAGGUUACACUGAAAAAACCCUGUCUCCAAAAACAAAACAAAACAAAGAAAAAAAGAAAAAUGCUAAGAGCAACAGUGUCAGGAAAGGGCAAACUGUCUCUGUGUGGCACGCUGAAGGUCCCUCACUUCCAGUCAUCAGAGCCCUGGCUAAGCCAAGGCAGUUGGACCCUGUCAAUGUUCUCCAGGAGAUUGCAGGUGAGAUGUUGGGAAAGAGUUUUGCUUAGAGCGCCUCUGGGGUUCUGUCCCUGGCUGGGAGAGGAUGGAGGAGCGUGGGAGGAGGCAUCUGACCCCAAGGACU